rnacentral:rRNA from 1 species
UAGGGAAUCUUCCGCAAUGGGCGAAAGCCUGACGGAGCAACGCCACGUGAGUGAUGAAGGUCUUCGGAUCGUAAAACUCUGUUAUUAGGGAAGAACAAAUGUGUAAGUAACUAUGCACGUCUUGACGGUACCUAAUCAGAAAGCCACGGCUGACUACGUGCCAGCAGCCGCGGUAAUACGUAGGUGGCAAGCGUUAUCCGGAAUUAUUGGGCGUAAAGCGCGCGUAGGCGGUUUUUUAAGUCUGAUGUGAAAGCCCACGGCUCAACCGUGGAGGGUCAUUGGAAACUGGAAAACUUGAGUGCAGAAGAGGAAAGUGGAAUUCCAUGUGUAGCGGUGAAAUGCGCAGAGAUAUGGAGGAACACCAGUGGCGAAGGCGACUUUCUGGUCUGUAACUGACGCUGAUGUGCGAAAGCGUGGGGAUCAAACAGG